UUGGAGGGCAAGUCUGGUGCCAGCAGCCGCGGUAAUUCCAGCUCCAAUAGCGUAUAUUAAAGUUGCUGCAGUUAAAAAGCUCGUAGUUGAAUUUCGGGACCAAUAUGUCGGUCGUGCCUCGGUACGUACUGGCAUCGUUGGUUUCUCCCUUCUGACGAACCAUGAUGUCAUUUAUUUGGUGUCGUGGGGAAUCAGGACUGUUACUUUGAAAAAAUUAGAGUGUUUAAAGCAGGCUCACGCUUGAAUACAUUAGCAUGGAAUAAUGAAAUAGGACGUUUGAUUCUAUUUUGUUGGUUUCUAGGAUCGACGUAAUGAUUAAUAGGGAUAGUUGGGGGCAUUAGUAUUCAAUUGUCAGAGGUGAAAUUCUUGGAUUUAUUGAAGACUAACUACUGCGAAAGCAUUUGCCAAGGAUGUUUUCAUUAAUCAAGAACGAAAGUUAGGGGAUCGAAGACGAUCAGAUACCGUCGUAGUCUUAACCAUAAACUAUGCCGACUAGGGAUCGGAUGAUGUUAAUUUUUUAAUGACUCAUUCGGCGCCUUACGGGAAAC
rnacentral:rRNA from 3 species